rnacentral:lncRNA from 1 species
GCAACAUGAAGGACUUCAAUGCAGGUUUAAAAAGGGAGUCUCCACAACCAUGGGCAUGAGGAGGUGGAAAAUGAGGAAGAUCUCCUCUCAAACCUUUCCAGUUUGCCCAGAGUGCUCAUUUCCCAUCCCUUGGAAAACCUGAAGUGUGGUCUUUAGAGCCGACCAGAUGUGACAGGAUGGUCAGAGAUGCUCUGGGAGAUUUCAUGAGCUGCUCUAGGAACUCUCCAGCUGUUUCCUCCCUUUGGACUGACAGCAAACUACUGGAAAGCAUUGCCAGCAUCUCUGUGGCUCCUUCAAUCCCCAAAGAUCUUCACAAACCAGAGCUUGCCUCUAGGAAGUCAGCACAGCCCCAUGGCUGCAGGUCUGGAAAUGCCUAAAUUCAGUUUCUUGCUCUGCCAUAUUCUUUCCAUCAGACUCUGAGUAUUCAUCAUUAGUUCUCUUCAUUCCUUGUAAGUGCAAAUAUUUUGGUGGCUUUUCUUUUUUUCAGCUGUCUCAGCUUUAUCAAGAUUGAAUUUAA